rnacentral:lncRNA from 1 species
CCGUUGCACAAAGGUGAGACUUGCCUUUGAGGGACGGUUGAGAGGGAAACAGAAGAUCCAGGCAGCAAAGUCAUUCAGAAAGGGGAGUUUGGAAAACAAACAGGCUGUGAACAACUUGAUGAGCCAGAUGAAGUGUGUCAUGAGCCAGAUGAGCUUAUAGCAGACAGAGAACCUUUACAGCGAACAAGGGAGAAGAGGGAAGAGAAAGACCUCAGGAAUGAACAAAGAAGCUCAAGGGAAGAGUAGCUCAGAACACCAUCAAUGACAAGCAAAUAAAAUAAGAAAAAGCAUGAGGACAGUUAAUUACUACUUCAAGGUAACAGGCUUGGGAGGGA